rnacentral:tRNA from 1 species
GGUCCCAUCGUCUAGCGGUUAGGACGCCGGCCUCUCACGUCGGUAACACGGGUUCGAUUCCCGUUGGGACCA